rnacentral:rRNA from 1 species
UUGCUGCUUUGCUGACGAGUGGCGGACGGGUGAGUAAUGUCUGGGAAACUGCCUGAUGGAGGGGGAUAACUACUGGAAACGGUAGCUAAUACCGCAUAACGUCGCAAGACCAAAGAGGGGGACCUUCGGGCCUCUUGCCAUCGGAUGUGCCCAGAUGGGAUUAGCUAGUAGGUGGGGUAACGGCUCACCUAGGCGACGAUCCCUAGCUGGUCUGAGAGGAUGACCAGCCACACUGGAACUGAGACACGGUCCAGACUCCUACGGGAGGCAGCAGUGGGGAAUAUUGCACAAUGGGCGCAAGCCUGAUGCAGCCAUGCCGCGUGUAUGAAGAAGGCCUUCGGGUUGUAAAGUACUUUCAGCGGGGAGGAAGGUGCUGAGGUUAAUAACCUCAGCAAUUGACGUUACCCGCAGAAGAAGCACCGGCUAACUCCGUGCCAGCAGCCGCGGUAAUACGGAGGGUGCAAGCGUUAAUCGGAAUUACUGGGCGUAAAGCGCACGCAGGCGGUCUGUCAAGUCGGAUGUGAAAUCCCCGGGCUCAACCUGGGAACUGCAUUCGAAACUGGCAGGCUAGAGUCUUGUAGAGGGGGGUAGAAUUCCAGGUGUAGCGGUGAAAUGCGUAGAG